CAGAACAUGGGAAACCCCGGGCUAGCAUAACUGCAUCAGAACACUUCUAAUACUAGCCACGUGCAGGGCCGGCUCUACCACUAAUCAGCUUUAGGCGGCUGUCUAGGGUUGCCAGCCACUGGAGGAAACCACUGAAUUCAUCUACUAAAUAUCUGAAGGAUGUCUCUUUAUGCAGAUAAAAAUGAGUGAGUACAAGGUGCUGAAACAACUCAAGAAGAGAAGAGAUGAUAUUAAAGUGAACACAGUGGGAAAUGGCUUAAACAAACCAAAAAUGAAGAAAGCAUCCAGAUUAUCUCCAGCGCUAUUUUGUGACAAGUGUGAAAUUCAACACAGACAAUUACACCAACUCCUGAAGUUUGCCAUCCUCGGAAAAGAGGACGGUACCCAACAGGCAAGCUGGUGCAAUAUUCACCAUCAAAGUCAUCUUCGCGGUGUUGUCAUCAUUAUACUAGAGGACCUCAGUCAGCAUCACUUCUACCAGUUUUAUUUGCACUUUCCGUGUGUCAGGAGAUUGUUCAGACAUAGAUUCAUCCUGCCACCUCCUCCCCGCGAUUUUAUUGCUUCUCUUGUUGGGUUGAAUAAAGAAGAAAAAGAUUCACAUGAUUUGAACAACAGAAUACGCGCCAGACUGUCACAUGAUCCAAUACUAAGGAAAUAUGGUACUAAAAAACAUGGUCUGACCAGGUAUCUGCUUACUGAGGAGGAGAUGAGGGUCAAUGAUUAUCCAUUAGUAGGCUCGGCAGAUACAAAUAAGUUUGUACGUUUUAGCUGUACAGGAGCGCCGACAGACAGCAGCCCUCUGUUUGGACUGGAUUGUGAAAUGUGCUUGACCAAUAAAGGGGAUGAGGUGACCAGAGUCUCAUUAGUAGAUUCCAGUGGUAAUUCUAUAAUGGACGAACUGGUAAAGCCAGACAAUCCCAUUCUGGACUACAGGACCAGCUUCUCAGGUAUUACCAGAAACAUGCUUCUUCCAGUGAAAACAAAAUUAAAAGAUGUCCAAAACAAAUUACGAAUCCUUCUCCCUCCGAGUGCCGUGCUGGUGGGUCACUCCUUACAUUAUGAUAUGCAAGCCCUGCGGAUGAUACAUCCAAAUGUCAUUGACACAGCAAUACUUUUUACAAGAACCUUUGAAAGAAAGUUUAAAUUAAAGUUUCUGACGCAAGCCGUUCUAAAGAGAGAGAUUCAGCGUGAUGAUGUAGUGGGACACAAUCCUUCAGAGGAUGCUGCUGCUGCUUUGGAAUUAGCUCAGUAUUUUAUUGAGCAUGGACCAGAGAAGGUUGCACUUCUUAAUCUAGAGGAGAUGUUUGUGGAUGCAAGUUGUCUGCAGAGUCCUUUAGCAGAGAGAGAUAUAAAGAGUCAACAGAAUGAUGUGACCGCUCCCCAGCAAUCAGCACGCCCGUGUCUUGCAGAUUCAUUGGUAAAGUUAAAGAGGCAGAUCCUUUACAUUGGCAAAAGGGAAAGUGUGAAGAAUCUGGUUCCUUCAAGACUGUUUAAGAAUAUAUUAUGUACUUCAGAUGAGGAUGUCCUGGAGAGAGCAUCCAGUGUUAUUCCCCAGUCUCCAGUCAGUAUAGUUCAGUUCCAAUCUGGAAGUAUUUUCAGUGAAUGCAGUGCGGACACCAAUGAACAUGUAAGGGGCCUGUUUGAAGAUUUUGGCACUGUCUUUGUUCGACCCUUCAAGACUGGUAUGUGCAUGAAAUCAGUGAAGAUCCAUUUCCAGAGCUGCGGUCCUAUCAACUCAAUGAGUAUCGUAACUGAUGAUUCUCAGCCUUGUGUCCGCAUUCAGUACAGUGUCCCGGAGGCUGCUCAGCUUGCUGUUAAUCUUCUAAAUGGCAUACAUAUUAAUGGAUGCUGUAUUACGGUUCGGAGGCUGGUAACCAGUAGGACAUUAUAUUACAAUGACCUUUUAAAGGAGAUGGAAGAUGAUCCUGAAAUCAGUGGCACAAUUUAUGUGUCUGGAUUUCCUAGACCCUUAACAGAGGAUUUUCUUCAGCGGCAGUUCAGCCAUUUCAAAGACAUCAAAGCAAUAUUUGUGCCGACAAAUCCUCAAAACCAGCUGCUCACUAAAUAUUGUUAUAUAAAAUUCCACAGCCCAGUUAGCGCUGCUGCAGCUGCUGAUUACAUACAGGCACAUGGCGGAUUAAGGAGUACAAAAGCGGUCACCUCCAGCCACUUACAUCGCUGGCUUCGGACGGUAGGGAUCUAUCCCACUUGUCCCAAACAGUCUGAACAGGAAAUCCCGCCUCAGGAAGAUCAUACAGAGAGAAUUAAGGAUAUGGACAGGAAAAUUAAUAAUCUUUAUGAAAGCCUUCUAGAAAACACCCUGUGUGUCAUCCUUUUCCCGGGUAACAAGAGGUACUGAAGCUGUACUGUAGAACCAGAACGCUACGAGUGUAUUACGUAAAGCACUGUCGACAAUGGAUCCCUUCCAGGCUUUGGUUUGAUGGGAAUAAAAACUGACACCUGAAAUAAUGCAUUUCAGUAUGUUUCAUUUAUAGUGUUGGCCGUUUUACAAUUAUUUUUAAAAUAAUAAAAACUGAUCCAUU